UACGAAGGGGGCUAGCGUUGUUCGGAAUCACUGGGCGUAAAGCGCACGUAGGCGGAUUUUUAAGUCAGGGGUGAAAUCCCGGGGCUCAACCUCGGAACUGCCUUUGAUACUGGAGAUCUUGAGUCCGGAAGAGGUAAGUGGAACUGCGAGUGUAGAGGUGAAAUUCGUAGAUAUUCGCAAGAACACCAGUGGCGAAGGCGGCUUCCUGGCCUGUUCUUGACGCUGAGGCGCGAAAGCUAGGGGAGCAAACGGG
rnacentral:rRNA from 1 species